CUCGCCAUGCUCAGAUGCUUGGGAUCUCGAAGCUGAGUUGCUGCUAGCAAAUUAAAAUGUAUCUGUCUUCCUCUGACCCUAUGUCAAGUCCAUACAGAAUUUUGACCUGAGGAGAAAUACUGUCAUUCCAUUUAUCUAUCUUGACACACUUAAGGUGUGUGGAAGAUUUUCUGGAUGUUUUAGAUCUGUUUCAGAAACAUAACUAAGCUGAAAUGCAGAAACAGGAGAAGAUAAAGAUGGAUUUAUGCAAGCCCUGCACAUCCAGGACAGGACCAAGAUGAAUCUCUGUGACCAGACCUGUUCAAUACACCCUUCACCUAGAGAUCUGAGGAAAUCACAUAAUACAUCACCAGCAAAACUGAAGCAACCAGUGAGAAGGAGGCUGAUGGAGAGAAGAAAGCAUUUAAAAAUAAGCACAAAAGGACCCUGGACUGCGGAGAGGGAUGAAGAAACUGCCACUACAAACAUCAUAUGCCUCCUGGCAGAGACCUCACUACGGAUGCUGGCGACUUCUCAGGAGUGCCCACGCCACCGCCUUUUUGAGGAGUGAAGGUCACGGUCCACCUCUGGACUCCGAGAAGCCCGUGGAGGGCGAAGGUGGCACUGAAGAUGGGGUAGAUACUAGAAAGGUUUUUUUUUCCUGUAUAACCAUUUUAACUGUAAUAUUAGUGAGUUUUUGUUUUGUUUUGUUCUGUUUUAUUAUUGGGGUGACUUAGACUAUGAGACUGCUAAAACUUUAAUUGGACUAUCAAUAAAUUCAUUGCUUUUUAUGCUUAUGGUGUGUUU
rnacentral:lncRNA from 1 species